rnacentral:tRNA from 2 species
GCGGGCAUGGCGGAAUUAGAAGUCGCAUACGGUUCAGAGCCGUAUAACCGAAAGGUUGUGGAGGUGCAAGUCCUCCUGCCCGCACCA